UCUUGCCUCAUAGUUGCAGACGACACGUGCGCGAUCUUGACCAUUCUCUGCUGGUGCGGAAGGAGACGGUGGAGUGGACGAGUGGAAGGUUGCUCCAGACAUGCUGGUGUGGAGAAAUAAUAAUGGCAUUGCUUACAAACUUUAGUAACGUCCGUAUCAAAAGAAGCAGUGACAUAUGUGGAUCCAGCUAGAGUCUGGUGAUGGGAAAGUGGAUCUCGGACAUGGCUGAGAGAAGAGGAAUGGGCACCAGGUGUAGAAAGCUCAAUAACUUCCUCACUGUUCACCCGGAGAAGAGGACUCGGUUGACGUGCCCUGGAAUCCCAUCAAAGCGAGCAAAGAUAGAAGCGAGUAGAUACAUGGAAGAUAGAAAGCGUAUCAAAUGACUGCUACAUAUAAACAAUCACCACACAAUAAGCAUGAAACCGUGAAUCCACUUAACACCUGUUUUCAACCACUGGCAUAAAUUGCAGAAAUUAAUAAAGGUGGGUCCCUAAAGUUA